AACGAACGCUGGCGGCAGGCUUAACACAUGCAAGUCGAGCGCCCCGCAAGGGGAGCGGCAGACGGGUGAGUAACGCGUGGGAAUCUACCCAUCUCUACGGAAUAACGCAUGGAAACGUGUGCUAAUACCGUAUACGUCCUUCGGGAGAAAGAUUUAUCGGAAAUGGAUGAGCCCGCGUUGGAUUAGCUAGUUGGUGGGGUAAAGGCCUACCAAGGCGACGAUCCAUAGCUGGUCUGAGAGGAUGAUCAGCCACACUGGGACUGAGACACGGCCCAGACUCCUACAGGAGGCAGCAGUGGGGAAUAUUGGACAAUGGGCGCAAGCCUGAUCCAUCCAUGCCGCGUGAGUGAUGAAGGCCCUAGGGUUGUAAAGCUCUUUCACCGGUGAAGAUAAUGACGGUAACCGGAGAAGAAGCCCCGGCUAACUUCGUGCCAGCCGCCGCAGUAA
rnacentral:rRNA from 1 species